GACGAACGCUGGCGGCGUGCCUAAUACAUGCAAGUAGAACGCUGAAGAGAGGAGCUUGCUCUUCUUGGAUGAGUUGCGAACGGGUGAGUAACGCGUAGGUAACCUGCCUGGUAGCGGGGGAUAACUAUUGGAAACGAUAGCUAAUACCGCAUAAAAUGGAUUAUCGCAUGAUAAUCCAUUGAAAGGUGCAAAUGCAUCACUACCAGAUGGACCUGCGUUGUAUUAGCUAGUUGGUGGGGUAACGGCUCACCAAGGCGACGAUACAUAGCCGACCUGAGAGGGUGAUCGGCCACACUGGGAAUGAGACACGGCCCAGACUCCUACGGGAGGCAGCAGUAGGGAAUCUUCGGCAAUGGACGGAAGUCUGACCGAGCAACGCCGCGUGAGUGAAGAAGGUUUUCGGAUCGUAAAGCUCUGUUGUAAGAGAAGAACGAGUGUGAGAGUGGAAAGUUCACACUGUGACGGUAUCUUACCAGAAAGGGACGGCUAACUACGUG
rnacentral:rRNA from 1 species